GCGGCGGCGGCGGCGGCGGCGGCGGCGGCGGAGUGUAGGAAGAGGCACUGCUGAGGGGGCGCGAGGGGAACGGAGGCCAGAGCCGCGCUGACAGCAGCCAUGGCGAGCGGCAGUGGAGACAGCGUCACCCGUCGGAGCGUGGCAUCACAGUUUUUCACUCAAGAGGAGGGGCCGGGCAUCGAUGGCAUGACCACCUCAGAGAGGGUGGUGGAUCUUCUGAACCAGGCGGCGCUGAUCACCAAUGACUCAAAGAUCACAGUGCUCAAACAGGUCCAGGAGCUGAUCAUCAACAAAGACCCCACACUACUGGACAACUUCCUGGAUGAGAUCAUCGCAUUCCAAGCAGACAAGUCAAUCGAAGUGCGAAAAUUUGUCAUCGGCUUCAUCGAGGAGGCAUGCAAGCGAGACAUUGAGUUGCUGCUGAAACUCAUUGCAAACCUCAACAUGCUCUUGAGGGACGAGAAUGUGAACGUGGUGAAGAAGGCUAUCCUCACCAUGACCCAGCUCUACAAGGUGGCCCUGCAGUGGAUGGUAAAGUCACGGGUCAUUAGCGAGCUACAGGAGGCCUGCUGGGACAUGGUAUCUGCCAUGGCGGGGGACAUCAUCCUGCUAUUGGACUCUGACAAUGACGGCAUCCGCACCCACGCCAUCAAGUUUGUGGAGGGCCUCAUUGUCACCCUGUCACCCCGCAUGGCUGACUCAGAGAUACCCCGACGCCAGGAGCAUGAUAUCAGCCUGGACCGCAUCCCUCGUGACCACCCCUACAUCCAGUACAACGUGCUAUGGGAAGAGGGCAAGGCCGCCUUGGAGCAGCUGCUUAAGUUCAUGGUGCACCCUGCCAUCUCCUCCAUCAACCUGACCACAGCGCUGGGCUCCCUCGCCAAUAUCGCCCGCCAGAGACCCAUGUUCAUGUCUGAGGUGAUCCAGGCCUAUGAAACUCUGCAUGCCAACCUGCCCCCGACGCUGGCCAAAUCGCAGGUGAGCAGCGUGCGUAAGAAUCUGAAGCUGCACCUGUUGAGUGUACUGAAGCACCCGGCUUCCUUGGAGUUCCAGGCCCAGAUCACCACCCUGCUGGUGGACCUGGGCACACCUCAGGCCGAGAUCGCCCGCAACAUGCCGAGCAGCAAGGACACCCGCAAGCGGCCCCGCGAUGACUCGGACUCCACACUCAAGAAGAUGAAGCUGGAGCCCAACCUGGGGGAGGACGAUGAGGACAAAGACUUGGAGCCAGGCCCAUCGGGGACCUCGAAGGCCUCAGCGCAGAUCUCCGGCCAGUCAGACACGGACAUCACAGCUGAGUUCCUGCAGCCUCUGCUGACGCCUGAUAAUGUGGCUAAUCUGGUCCUCAUCAGCAUGGUGUACCUACCCGAGGCCAUGCCAGCCUCCUUCCAGGCCAUCUACACCCCCGUGGAGUCAGCAGGCACGGAAGCCCAGAUCAAGCACCUGGCUCGGCUCAUGGCCACACAGAUGACAGCUGCCGGACUGGGACCAGGUGUAGAGCAGACCAAACAGUGCAAGGAGGAGCCCAAGGAGGAGAAGGUGGUGAAGACAGAGAGCGUCCUGAUCAAGCGGCGCCUGUCAGCCCAGGGCCAAGCCAUCUCGGUGGUGGGUUCCCUGAGCUCCAUGUCCCCCCUGGAGGAAGAGGCACCGCAGGCCAAGAGGAGGCCAGAGCCCAUUAUCCCUGUCACUCAGCCCCGGUAAGUCCUCUUCUGGGUGCUAGGGCAGGACAGUAGCCCUACCCUGAAGGUCUGGUUCUCAGCUCGUGUGCGUGUGCGUGUGUGUGUGUGUGUGUGUGUGUGUGUGUGUGUGUGUGUAACUGAGAGGCAGACAGAAGGAAGUCUGGAAUAGGUUCGCUCUGACUCCCGAGUCAGUGCCAUAACCACUAAGCGUUUGCUGUUCUCUUUCCUGUAAAAAAAAAAAAAAAAAAAAAA
rnacentral:sRNA from 1 species